UGAUAAUGGGUUAGGUAAAUGUUUCAUGAUAAGAAUUUCAUGUCUUUUGUAUUAAAGAAUUAAAUGGAUGAAAUAUGAAGUUUUAUUAAAAGAAAAAGGGGUGAAAAGAACAAAGUUUUGUCCAUCUUUGUUCAUCAUAGCUGAAAGUUAGAGAAGAGAAAGGAGAGGAGAAAGCUCUUGAGUGUUGGGUCACUUGGGGAAGAAAAUUGAAGGCGGUUCGUGUGUGGAUCUCGUCAGCAUAUCGUCGCAAACAGGAAAUCCCCAACCAUAGUGGGCUUGGAGUUGUGAGGGAAUUCGGAGUGGCCACCCGUUCUGAAAGUUUGAUUUUCUUCUGGUGAACUGGACAUCCUUUUAAUUACGUUUGAGGUUUUGGGCUUUUAAAUGUAAUAAGGCCGCUUAAUUAUUUUUGAUGGUUUUAAUAUGUAUUACUAAGAUAGGUAUUACUUAUUUUAACUGUUGAAAUUGGAUAGCUUUAGGGCGCGUUUUCAAAAACAACAA